UAAUGGACUGUGUAUGUCAAUGUAGAAAGAACUCUGGUACUUAACACAUUUCCAUUUUUUGUAUUUUAUAUUUUACGAGUUGAGUUGGCCUCAACUAAUCUUCCAAGAAGCCUCUGGAAAGAAACAAAAGGAAGGAGGUCACAGAACCCUUGGCUUAAUUUGGGACACCAUGACACAAGAUGUUCCUUCCUGGAUGCAAAGGAAAUACAUGCUUUUCUGUACUGCUCUCUUCUGGUCUGAAGCCCUCCAAAUCCUCCAGUCCUCCCACCUUGACCACCUUCCUCAAAUACUGAAAAAAAUCUGAUGUAAACAACUGAUCAACAGUCUAAGCCAGAGACUAAGAGGAAGAAAGGGAGCCCUGUGAAUAGCGGUAUGGAGAGUAUAGAACCAAAGCACCUCAGGAUGGAAGGAAAGAGUGAAGGGUCCAGACAGGAAGACUGAGUGUGGGAAAUAAGCCACUCAAAGGGGUAAAAAAUGUUUUGUAGCAUCUUCUGGAUACAUGUGUGUGAUUAAUACCCAGAAAGGAAUGGGCCCAUGGUUUUUCCCUUCCAAAUAUUAGGGACAGAGCUAAUGGAUUAUUGAUUAUUGAUUUUGAACAUAAAUAUUUAACGUCAUUGUGACCAAUGCUCUGAAGAAAACUACCAUGCAUAUUUGGGGACCAAUUAUGGAAACAACUGUGUCCUGGAAUAUUGAGGGAAGGCUUCAUCCAAAAAGUGUCAGCGAAACAAGUUCUCAAAGUUGAAGUUAUCGGGAAAAGAACGUGGGAAAAAUGGUCAUAGAGGCAACAACGUGAAUAAAGGCAUUGAGGUUGGAAGGGGCUUGAUGUUC
rnacentral:lncRNA from 1 species